GACAGAGGAGCCAAGCGUUGUCCGGAUUGACUGGGCGUAAAGCGCACGCAGGCGGAUGCGCGCGUGGGGUGUGAAAUCUGGCCGCUUAACGUCCAGGCGCCAUCCCAUACGGCGCGUCUGGAGUGAUGCAGAGGUCGAUGGAAUUGCCGGUGUAGUGGUGAAAUGCGUAGAGAUCGGCAGGAACACCCAGGGGGAAACCAGCCGACUGGGCAAGUGCUGACGCUGAGGUGCGAGAGCGUGGGGAGCGAACCGG
rnacentral:rRNA from 1 species